UCUUUUUUGAAAACCUUGACCCCUAGGGUAUGUCAGAUCCGUCACAAAUAUAGGGAGUCCACUGUUCACACGGACAGAGAUUUCUCUGUAUUUGCACGGCGUCGCACAAGUACAAGAUACAACUAUAACAUAUGAACAUCCACAUAUCAUUCACAUCCACAUUCAGUUCAUCACAAAUUUUCAUAAGUUCACAUCUAUCAGUUUAAAAUGUUUCCUACCCGAAAACUCGUUUUGAAAUACUAAUAACCAGGAAAAUCAGAAAACCCUUUUAAAACCAUUUCUCACACAGAAACGUUUUUCUUUUAAAAGCACGCUACCACGAGGGAUAGAAAAUAAUUUUCAUAAUCUCAUAUAAAAACCAUGCUUAC
rnacentral:lncRNA from 1 species